GUAAGGAAUAUUGGACAAUGGACGCAAGUCUGAUCCAGCCAUGCCGCGUGAAGGAUUAAGGUCCUCUGGAUUGUAAACUUCUUUUAUAAGGGACGAAAAAAGGCUUUUCUAAGUCGUCUGACGGUACCUUAUGAAUAAGCACCGGCUAACUCCGUGCCAGCAGCCGCGGUAAUACGGAGGGUGCAAGCGUUAUCCGGAUUCACUGGGUUUAAAGGGUGCGUAGGCGGGCAGGUAAGUCAGUGGUGAAAUCCUAGAGCUUAACUCUAGAACUGCCAUUGAUACUAUCUGUCUUGAAUAUUGUGGAGGUAAGCGGAAUAUGUCAUGUAGCGGUGAAAUGCUUAGAUAUGACAUAGAACACCUAUUGCGAAGGCAGCUUACUACGCAUAUAUUGACGCUGAGGCACGAAAGCGUGGGGAUCAAACAGGAUUAGAAACCUUGGUAGUCC
rnacentral:rRNA from 1 species